rnacentral:lncRNA from 1 species
UUUUUCUUCAACUUCAUAAAAUCAUAAAAAAUAGGAAAAUGCAUCAAUUUGAUCCCAAUUUUUUGCAUCUUGUUCCUCUAUUUGUCUAUUUUCUGAUGAUCAUGAUUUCUAGAGUUGUGCUUGGCUGGAUAUUAUUUUGUGCUAGAAUGAUUGAUCAUAUGUCUUGUUUUGACCUUGCCAUGCUUAUACUAUUGUGAAAUGCUUG